rnacentral:rRNA from 1 species
CCUACGGGUGGCUGCAGUGGGGAAUAUUGCACAAUGGGCGCAAGCCUGAUGCAGCCAUGCCGCGUGUGUGAAGGAGGCCUUCGGGUUGUAAAGCACUUUCAGCGGGGAGGAAGGCGUUAAGGUUAAUAACCUUGUCGAUUGACGUUACCCGCAGAAGAAGCACCGGCUAACUCCGUGCCAGCAGCCGCGGUAAUACGGAGGGUGCAAGCGUUAAUCGGAAUUACUGGGCGUAAAGCGCACGCAGGCGGUCUGUCAAGUCGGAUGUGAAAUCCCCGGGCUCAACCUGGGAACUGCAUUCGAAACUGGCAGGCUAGAGUCUUGUAGAGGGGGGUAGAAUUCCAGGUGUAGCGGUGAAAUGCGUAGAGAUCUGGAGGAAUACCGGUGGCGAAGGCGGCCCCCUGGACAAAGACUGACGCUCAGGUGCGAAAGCGUGGGGAGCAAACAGGAUUAGAUACCCGAGUAGUC